rnacentral:rRNA from 1 species
GUGGGGAAUAUUGGACAAUGGGGGGAACCCUGAUCCAGCCAUGCCGCGUGUGUGAAGAAGGCCUUUUGGUUGUAAAGCACUUUAAGCGAGGAGGAGGCUACCGAGAUUAAUACUCUUGGAUAGUGGACGUUACUCGCAGAAUAAGCACCGGCUAACUCUGUGCCAGCAGCCGCGGUAAUACAGAGGGUGCAAGCGUUAAUCGGAUUUACUGGGCGUAAAGCGCGCGUAGGUGGCCAAUUAAGUCAAAUGUGAAAUCCCCGAGCUUAACUUGGGAAUUGCAUUCGAUACUGGUUGGCUAGAGUAUGGGAGAGGAUGGUAGAAUUCCAGGUGUAGCGGUGAAAUGCAUAGAGAUCUGGAGGAAUACCGAUGGCGAAGGCAGCCAUCUGGCCUAAUACUGACACUGAGGUGCGAAAGCAUGGGGAGCAAACAGGAUUAGAUACCCCGGUAGUCC